GAUGAACGCUGGCGGCGUGCCUAAUACAUGCAAGUCGAGCGAACGGACGAGAAGCUUGCUUCUCUGAUGUUAGCGGCGGACGGGUGAGUAACACGUGGAUAACCUACCUAUAAGACUGGGAUAACUUCGGGAAACCGGAGCUAAUACCGGAUAAUAUUUUGAACCGCAUGGUUCAAAAGUGAAAGACGGUCUUGCUGUCACUUAUAGAUGGAUCCGCGCUGCAUUAGCUAGUUGGUAAGGUAACGGCUUACCAAGGCAACGAUGCAUAGCCGACCUGAGAGGGUGAUCGGCCACACUGGAACUGAGACACGGUCCAGACUCCUACGGGAGGCAGCAGUAGGGAAUCUUCCGCAAUGGGCGAAAGCCUGACGGAGNCACGCCGCGUGAGUGAUGAAGGUCUUCGGAUCGUAAAACUCUGUUAUUAGGNAAGAACAUAUGUGUAAGUAACUGUGCACAUCUUGACGGUACCUAAUCAGAAAGCCACGGCUAACUACGUGCCAGCAGCCCGCGGUAUACGUAGGUGGCAAGCGUUAUCGGGAUUAUUGGGCGUAAAGCGCGCGUAGCGAUUUUUUAGUCUGAUGUGAAAGCCCACGGCUCAACCGUGGAGGGUCAUUGGAAACUGGAAAACUUGAGUGCAGAAGAGGAAAGUGGAAUUCCAUGUGUAGCGGUGAAAUGCUCAGAGAUAUGGAGGAACACCAGUGGCGAAGGCGACUUUCUGGUCUGUAACUGACGCUGAUGUGCGAAAGCGUGGGGAUCAAACAGGAUUAGAUACCCUGGUAGUCCACGCCGUAAACGAUGAGUGCUAAGUGUUAGGGGGUUUCCGCCCCUUAGUGCUGCAGCUAACGCAUUAAGCACUCCGCCUGGGGAGUACGACCGCAAGGUUGAAACUCAAAGGAAUUGACGGGGACCCGCACAAGCGGUGGAGCAUGUGGUUUAAUUCGAAGCAACGCGAAGAACCUUACCAAAUCUUGACAUCCUUUGACAACUCUAGAGAUAGAGCCUUCCCCUUCGGGGGACAAAGUGACAGGUGGUGCAUGGUUGUCGUCAGCUCGUGUCGUGAGAUGUUGGGUUAAGUCCCGCAACGAGCGCAACCCUUAAGCUUAGUUGCCAUCAUUAAGUUGGGCACUCUAAGUUGACUGCCGGUGACAAACCGGAGGAAGGUGGGGAUGACGUCAAAUCAUCAUGCCCCUUAUGAUUUGGGCUACACACGUGCUACAAUGGACAAUACAAAGGGCAGCGAAACCGCGAGGUCAAGCAAAUCCCAUAAAGUUGUUCUCAGUUCGGAUUGUAGUCUGCAACUCGACUACAUGAAGCUGGAAUCGCUAGUAAUCGUAGAUCAGCAUGCUACGGUGAAUACGUUCCCGGGUCU
rnacentral:rRNA from 1 species